CCCUUAGAUGUUCUGGGCCGCACGCGCGCUACACUGAUGCAUGCAACGAGUUCUAUCCUUGGCCGGAAGGCCUGGGUAAUCUGUGAACGUGCAUCGUGAUAGGGAUAGAUUAUUGCAAUUAUUAAUCUUGAACGAGGAAUUCCUAGUAAACGCAAGUCAUCAGCUUGCAUUGAUUACGUCCCUGCCCUUUGUACACACCGCCCGUCGCACCUACCGAUCGAAGGUAAUGAUGAGCCCUCAGGAUUGUGGCCUCGUCGCGUCAGCGUCUUGGCUGCGAGAAUCUGUGCAAAUCCCUACCUUUAGAGGAAGGUGAAGUCGUAGCA
rnacentral:rRNA from 1 species